rnacentral:lncRNA from 1 species
CACUCUCAUCACUAAGACUUGGCAAUAGGAAAAUUAGAAUCAGCCAACCAUUGUCAAUCCUUGGUAAUCAUAGAAAUGCUAACCAAUAAUAAAAGUAAAAAAUAAAAGGAAAACAUAAAAAUAAUAAAAAAAAAAGGAAAAAAACCUUAAAAAGAACAAUACCAACUGUACCACAGCUCCUCCCUACACCUGAAUCUAAUAUUGUCCUCAAUGGAAGCCAUAACGUAAAAAAAAAUAACCAGGACAACGAAACUUCCUUGAACAUGUGGUGGAGGGUCUGGAGCAGCUAUAGAAUAGGUGGGAAUGGCGGUGUGAAGCCAACGUGGCAGAAGUAGGCUGUCAAAUUUUGGGACAUCUGGGCCACCUGAUCAACAAUAUUAGUCACCUGCCCGUUCAUAUGGUGGACCUGUGCUUGAAAGUGUUGCCACUCAGCAUUAGAUGAUGGCGGUGGAGGAGGCACAGAAGUAGAAGGUCUAGCCGCGUCAUCGGCCACUUUAGAAGCAGAAGAGGGACCUGCACGUGUAGAAGAGCGCUGGCCUAGUGCUCGAAUGGGCCCUGGGAGUGUAAAUCAAAAUAUACCAUCAAUAUCCUCUACAAUUCCCAUUUUUUCUAGACAAACCACAUCUAAAAAUUUCAUGUCACAGGCCAAAUAUAGAUCAUGGCUCUGAAGAUUAAGAACUUCUAAAUGAACUGUCAAGUGUGUGAUAUACGACCCAAGAAUCAACGGAUUAUUUUUUUUGGCCAAGACUAUCUUAAACUGAGAAGCUAGCCAACAAUCCAAAUUCACCUUAACAUUCUGCUUCAUACACCAAAUAAAGAAGAACUCGGGCCUAAAAAAUGUACUGGAACUAUCUUUUCUACCCGAGUAACUAUAGAUUGAAAAUCACUAAACAUAAUGAGAACUUGGAUUCUUGAGAUAAGAACUCUUAGACCUGCUAAGAUCAUAACGGUUCCUGUCGACUGAUAUUUCCCUCCAAAUAUCGGGAUAAUGAGAGAAAAAUGGUUCUAUGUAGUCACAAGCACUCUCAGUGUACUCUCUAGAUUUAGCAUACUAUCGAUCAAUUAACCCAAAGGCUAAAUUGAACUCAGUAAUGGAGAAACUGAACUCCUGACCAAUUAAACGAAAUCAAAUUACAUUCGGGGUAGUGACAAUAUAUCCCGCGGGCAAUUCGAACUCAAAAGUAGCAUAAAACUCUCUAACUAGUUCAACAAAAGUAGGCAAUAAAUUUCAGCAAAAGAUCUCCACCCAAUGGCUGAAAACAUCCACUUAAUCUCAUCCCGAAUGCCCAAGGCACCCAUGAUAAGCUUGUUAAGGCAUUUACAAAGGAUAAUUCGUCGCUCACAAUACAUAGCGUAUCUUUGUUUAUCGGUGGCUUUAGUGAAAUUCAAAUGACCCCCAAAGUGCGAGAGUGUAGAAACAUGGACAUCCUUACCCCUACCUAGAUGUGUCCUUACACCUAAAGAAGACGGAUGGUUGGUAGAUUCAUUCACAGGGAUGAUAGGUUGGGGUAUAGUAGACUAAACUUUAGGAGUUUUAUUUUUAGAAGUGGACUUUUGCUUAACUAUUGUCUCUACCAAGCAACUUAAUCAAACGACUACCCAAUCAAGGUAGCAUUUAACCAAUACUCAUGUUAUCAAGCACCCAAGCCAGGUACCUCACAAUGAACCGAAGACCCGCCAAAAAUAUCAAUCAAGCAAACUAGAUCUAUCAGCCAUGUCCAUCAAAUCAGCAAUUAAUUCAAUAAGCAUUGUCGUUGCUUAAUUGAACAUAUAAAUGCGCAAUUCGCCCAACCACAAAUUCAGUAGAGGCUCAAAUAUUUCAGCAAUUUAAAUCAACGGUCAAAUGGCACCAAGAAUUCAGCAAAAUAAUGUAGCAGGGACCCGUAAACCGAUAUUUAACACAGAACCCAAAAUCUUUGCCCAAUUCAGUCUAGAAAUCUAUUCCAGAAGUAGUACUCCCAAAAAUAAGUAAUUGACUCUAGCAAGUCAGCUAAGUAAUUGGGAAAACUAAAUACCUCCUUUUACUCAAACCAAUAUUAGAGAUGCCAAGCAAACAGCGAGAUUGGAGAUGGCUGUGGGUGGUGGUAGCGCGCGACGAACGAUCGGAGAGAGAG